rnacentral:lncRNA from 1 species
GCCCCCCGCACUACACCACCACCACCACCACCAGCAGCCGCCGCAUUGGAUCCGGCCGCGUACGGCGCCGCCCGCCGAUCUGACGUGCGGCGCGCGGGACGGGACGAAAGGGGGCGGCAGGCCGCGCGGGCGGGAGAGGAGAGGAGAGGGACGCUAGGGUUCGGGUUGAGCCGCCGCGGCCGCUUCGCUCGCUUUUCCCGACGGGGGCGGCGCCGGCCUACGGGCGGGCAGAGCGCAGAGCGGAGGGGAGCGGAGGAUGCCGUUGUGUUGUGUUGUGUUG